rnacentral:lncRNA from 1 species
GUCUCUCUCUGCUGUCUGAUCAUCAUGUAAGCAGCUUCUCUUUGCCACACUCUCCUGCCAUGAUGUCCUGCUUCACCUUGAGUCCUGAGGAAUGGAACCACCCAUGUAUGGACUGAGAUCUCUGAAACUGUGAGCACCUAAAUAAACUUUUUUCUCCUCUAUAGUUGUUCUGGUUGGGGUUUUCAGUAGCAGCAGCAAGAAAAGCUGACUUAAAUAUCUGGCAACAUUCACCUCCCAUUUCCCCCUGUGUUCUCAUUUGACUUUGUUGCUUUAAAACUAUUUUCCUUUGACUCUUCCUCCCAGAGAGUAAAGGAUCAGAUCUCAAAAUGGGUAGCAGAAAAGCUUAACAGUUUCUUCUCUGGAAAUUUUUUUUUUCCCUCAGAUAAACAUGCAGAGUUCUAUUGUAUUUUUGAAGGCUCCAUUUGUUCCAUGAUUUCCAUGUACUACCUCCCCAGGGGCCAACAAAUCCCUCAGGUUCUUCUAAGACUUGUGCCUAUUAAAUAAUGCCUAAAGUUCUAGAAAUGUGACAGGGAACCACAUAUUGCCUGCUUCCAUCAGCACUGCACACUUGCUUUAUCAGAUUCUGCUGUGUGUGUGUGUGUGUGUGCACGCAGUUGCAUAUACCUAUGAAGGGACAGAGGGGAGGUAAAGAUGAAGGUCUGGUGAAGAAUGCUUCCGUAGAGCCAUAGGAGAGCUGUGUGAGAGGAAGCCCCAUGAGACAGUGUGGGCUUAGGAGGUGCAGAGCCGGUGGGGUGUUGGGGAUGGACUAUAUAGUAAGCUUGUAAUCCCAGAGAUGAGAGCCAGAUGCUCUUUAUCAAAACUAUUAGCAUAUAGUCCCAGAGGUCAAUUCUUCUGUGUGCCAGAAUCUAAAUUGAGUUACCAAGCAAAAGACUCCAUGCGGAGAAAGCAGUUGAUAAGAACCAAAGGAGAGAAGAAGAGGUUGGCAUGAGGAGAG